rnacentral:rRNA from 1 species
AACGAACGCUGGCGGCAUGCUUAACACAUGCAAGUCGAACGAGACCUUCGGGUCUAGUGGCGCACGGGUGCGUAACGAGUGGGAACCUGCCCUUAGGUUCGCAAUAACUCCCCGAAAGGGUAGCUAAUACCGGAUAAUGUCUUCGGACCAAAGAUUUAUCGCCUUUGGAUGGGCCCGCGUUAGUUUAGCUAGUUGGUAGGGUAAAAGCCUACUAAGGCGACGAUCCAUGGCUGGUCUGUGAGGAUGAGUAGCCACGCUGGGACUGAGGCACGGCCCAGACUCCGACGGGAGGCAGGAGAGGGGUAUAUUGGACCAGGGGCUAAGGCCUGAUCCAGCAAUGCGCCGUGAGUGAGGAAUGCGUUAGGGUUGGAAAGCUCUUUGACCCGAGGCGAGAAUGACAGUACCGGGUGAAGAAGCUCCGGCUAACUCCGUG